AGCAGGAUCAUUCUUGGAAGGAAUACUUGUAUUUCUUUCGAUUUAUAUCUAUAUGGAUAACUGGUCGGGAAUCCUCCUCAGACAGCGGCAGCAUAAAACCUGCUUGCUUGGUCUCCUUCUCAUUGGUCCUGUGUCUCGCUUCGGCUUGAGUAUCAGGCUGGUGGGCGGUUGGGUAACACAGAGCGCGGAGGAUGUUGCUCUCCAACCGUGUGAUACAACGCUCAACGAUGGAUAUCUCGGCUUGGUGAUCGAUGAAGGACGCAGCAAAGUGCGACAAGUGUCAUGACUUGCAGAUACCCGAGAGCUGACAAAUUUCUGAAUGCAAAUUGCAGCCAAGUUAACCUGGCUAUACAAUGCAGAGAGUACUUCGCGUAUGCGCUUACUCUGGGGUUGAGCACAACUUUCGGGUUGUCACUUCUGGGACCUGCAUGAUUGAGCAUGUUGACAUUGGCACAUUCGUGUGUCAACAGUCCAAGCUUUCCCAUGUUAAAGUCAGAAAACCAUCGAGUUUUCCUGAAUAAUACGAGAAAAAGAGUUUAAUCUCUUACCUCUCACUUCUCACCUCUGCAUUGUAGGAGAACCCGCUGAACUUAAGCAUAUCAUUGAGCGGAGGACAAGAAAACAACUGUGAUUCCCUGAGUAACUGCGAGUGAAUAGGGAGGAGCCUAUGCUUGAAUUCUGUGUGGAUGGAACCGGAAGCACAGAAAUUGUAGUGCAAGGGUGUGAGAAGGCGCGAGCUAGUCGGAAGAAUCGCACAGGAACGUGCAACCAAUGAGGGCUAUCGUCCCGUACCCUCCGACGCAGCCGUACCAAUUUUUCGCUCCCCAAGAGUCGGGCAGUUUGAGAAUGCUGUCCAAAACCGCAGGUGUACUCCUGCGAAGGCUAAAUAUUUCACCAAGACCGAUAGCGAACAAGUAGUGUGAACGAAAGAUGAAAAGUACUUUGAAAAGAGAGUGAAAAGUCCUUGACAUUGUUGGGCGCAAAGGGUAUGAGACCCAUUGUAUGCUUUUGCUGUUCAGCGAGGGCUGUCAACGCGGGUUUCCGGCUUCUGCAGGUGGGUGUCUGCAUCUUCGUUUCGGCGUUGAUUGAGACCUCGUUGUUGCAGAAAGUUGGAGACUUGGCAGAAUCACUUGGCCGACGCGGUUUGAUUUUGAUCGUGCUUGUGCUGUCGAAGCAUCUUCUUUCGUGGGGGGUCUUCACGGUGCACUCAUUGUCACCAGGCUGCGUCGAGCCAGGGAAUCGUUGACCAUUUAAUGGUCUCUUACCACCCGUCUUGCGGUGCACUCAUUGUCACCAGGCUGCGUCGAGCCAGGGAAUCGUUGACCAUUUAAUGGUCUCUUACCACCCGUCUUGAAACACGGACCAAGGAGUCUACCGAAUGUGCGAGUGUUAUGGUGAUUGAAACCAAACGACGCACAAUGAAAGUAAUGCUUGUGAACCGCGGCGGAGAUCGUCGUUGGUGCAACAAGGCUCGGUACUUAUCAGAAGAAAGGGAUCUGAAGUCGAGCACAUUCGCUGGGACCCGAAAGAUAGCGAGCUUUUCCUGGGCCGAAGGAAGCCAGGGGAAACCUUGGUGGACGUUCGAAUGCAGUGCUGACGUGCAAAUCGCUUGUCAGAUCUGGGUAAAGGGGCGAAAGACUCAUCGAGCUAUCUAGUAGCUGGUUCCCUC
rnacentral:misc_RNA from 1 species